rnacentral:rRNA from 1 species
GACGAACGCUGGCGGCGUGCCUAACACAUGCAAGUCGAGCGGAGUUACAUGAGGAGUAAUCUGAGUGUAACUGAGCGGCGGACGGGUGAGUAACGCGUGAGCAACCUGCCUUUUACAGGGGAAUAACGCACCGAAAGGUGCACUAAUACCGCAUGAGACCACAUCCUCGCAUGGGGGAGGGGUCAAAGGAGCAAUCCGGUAGAAGAUGGGCUCGCGUCCGAUUAGGUAGUUGGUGGGGUAACGGCUCACCAAGCCUGAGAUCGGUAGCCGACCUGGGAGGGGGGUCGGCCACACUGGAACUGAGAGACGGUCCAGACGCCUACGGGAGGCAGCAGUGGGGAAUAUUGGGCAAUGGGGGAAACCCUGACCCAGCAACGCCGCGUGAGGGAAGAAGGUUUUCGGAUUGUAAACCUCUGUUCUUGGAGAAGAGAAGAAGACGGUAUCCAAGGAGGAAGCCCCGGCUAACUACGUGCCAGCCGCGGCGGUAA